GACUGGUCACACAAGAAAAUGCUUAACUUUGGUAUUUGUGUUGAUAAUUCUCAUAUCCCUAAUACUUUGUACGCCGUUACAAGUUGUACCAGAUGCGGAAUAAAGUGCAAUACAGUUGCAGCUAGUUUUGAUACUUGCUAAAAUCUGUCUCUCUUUUAUAUAUCUAUAUAAAUCUAUAUUGAUCUUUCCAAUAUUUCUUACAGGGCGUGCAUAGAAAGUGAUCAAGAAAAUAAGCAAAACAAACAUUUGAAUUCCUGAGUCUGCUAGAAAAUAGCACUUUAUUUCAUAUAACAUCUGUCAAGAUUGAAAAAAAAUGUUGAUAAAGUAAGAUUUUGGUUGCGGUAUGAUCACACCUAAUGACCCUGAUUGAUGACUUGGGCCAUGGAUUUACAAUCUCCAGGCAAGAGAACUUAAUUAUUUAUGAGUGUCUUUUUCUUUCAUUCUUAGAAUUUUGUUAGUCUUGCUCUUUGCUGAAUUUGUUUAGUUUACUUUUAAUUGAAAGGUGGUGAACAGAAGACAUACAUUAAUAUUCAACAAGUACACUUAACUAAGAAAAUUUAUUUUUACAAGGAUUUUUGUUAGGCUCAUAAGACCUUCACAUUUUCUUCCUCUUUGUCAUAAGAAUGUAUUUAAUUGCAUAAUUUAUUAUUUUAUUAUAUUCAUUAUUAUUUAUUAUGCUGCAAAAUUCCAUAUAUCAAAUACUAUUUCCAAUCAUUCGAAUGAUGGCAUACUGUACCCCAAAUACGUUUUAAUAUGUGCCCAAAAACAUUAAACCAUUAUACUAUAUUUAUGUUAAACAAUCAAGAACGAUACCUCUUUUAAAUAAAGCAUUUGUUGAUUUAGAUGAAGAGGGAAACAAAACAUAGGCAUUGUUGCCCUAUUGAAAGUACCUCUGAUUUUGUAUUUUGGUUUAAAUGUUAAUUGCUUCCCGUAUUAGCCAAAGAAAUAUUCUUAAAUUGAGAUUUAAACGGAUUAGGUUUAUCUAUUGAAAAAAAA